UACAGAGGUCCCGAGCGUUGUUCGGAUUCAUUGGGCGUAAAGGGUGCGUAGGCGGUUUGCUAAGUUUGAUGUGAAAUCCCGGGGCUUAACCCCAGGACUGCAUUGAAUACUGGCGGACUAGAGUACUGGAGAGGAAACUGGAAUUUACGGUGUAGCAGUGAAAUGCGUAGAGAUCGUAAGGAAGACCAGUGGCGAAGGCGAGUUUCUGGACAGUUACUGACGCUGAGGCACGAAGGCCAGGGGAGCAAACGGG
rnacentral:rRNA from 2 species